CCUACGGGAGGCAGCAGUGGGGAAUAUUGCACAAUGGGGGAAACCCUGAUGCAGCGACGCCGCGUGAGUGAAGAAGUAAUUCGUUAUGUAAAGCUCUAUCAGCAGGGAAGAAAAUGACGGUACCUGAGUAAGAAGCCCCGGCUAACUACGUGCCAGCAGCCGCGGUAAUACGUAGGGGGCAAGCGUUAUCCGGAUUUACUGGGUGUAAAGGGAGCGUAGACGGUAGUGCAAGUCUGGAGUGAAAGGCGGGGGCUCAACCCCCGGACUGCUCUGGAAACUGUACGGCUGGAGUACAGGAGAGGUAAGUGGAAUUCCUGGUGUAGCGGUGAAAUGCGUAGAUAUUAGGAAGAACACCAGUGGCGAAGGCGGCUUACUGAACUGUAACUGACGUUGAGGCUCGAAAGCGUGGGGAGCAAACAGGAUUAGAUACCCGAGUAGUC
rnacentral:rRNA from 1 species